GUCCAGACUCCUACGGGAGGCAGCAGUGGGGGAUAUUGGACAAUGGGGGAAACCCUGAUCCAGCGACGCCGCGUGAGUGAAGAAGUAUUUCGGUAUGUAAAGCUCUGUCAGCAGGGAAGAAAGAAAUGACGGUACCUGACCAAGAAGCCCCGGCUAACUACGUGCCAGCAGCCGCGGUAAUACGUAGGGGGCAAGCGUUAUCCGGAUUUACUGGGUGUAAAGGGAGCGUAGGCGGGCGAGAAAGUUGAAUGUUAAAUCUACCGGCUUAACUGGUAGCUGCGUUCAAAACUUCUUGUCUUGAGUGAAGUAGAGGCAGGCGGAAUUCCUAGUGUAGCGGUGAAAUGCGUAGAUAUACGGAGGAACACCAGUGGCGAAGGCGGAUUGCUGGACAGUAACUGACGCUGAGGCGCGAAAGCGUGGGGAGCAAACAGGAUUAGAUACCCGGGUA
rnacentral:rRNA from 1 species